GGUUACACUAUGACCACAUGGCUUCCUGUGAGUCCUCGACAGAAGUACAACCCAUGAGUGGAUCCACUGGGCCCCAGAAGUGGGUGUUCAUUCCCCCUGAAUUUGCCCUAACAUCAUAUGCUGCUACAGCUUCUUAAAAAGACUAGAAACCCAGCUAGUAUACAGAAUAUAAAAUGACACUUCGCAGCUGCCUCUUCCAUGAUGAGACCAGGCCAGGGAUUGCUGGGGGCGGUCAGCAUCUCCAGGGCAUGGCCCAGCCAAUGAAGCCACCUGCGUACUGCCUUGCCCUCUGCUGCCUGAUUUCUCAGAAACCAGUAAGGUAGGUGACAUUUCAGAGUGACUGUGGACCAGCAGUCAAUUCGAGUGUGGACACUUGUUGCCAGAACUCGGCUUCUGCUCACUGGUGCCAAAUAGAAACAUGGAGACAGAGUUUUGGGUGAAGAAGAAAAAAAUACUUUAUUGCUUUGUCAAGCAAAGGAGGGACACAGUGGGCCAGUGUCUCAAAGACUGUGCCCCCUUCAGGAGAGAUUGGGAGGUUGUUUUACAGUUUGGGGAGUGAAAAAUAGGGCCACAGAUAAGGAUCAGGGUAGAGGCAAGUUUGCAUUGUUUUCAAAGCUGGUGUUCAGUGGUCUGGUGGUCUUCUUUCUGGAAUAAAGAAUGCUUCAUUAACA
rnacentral:lncRNA from 1 species